GAAUAUUGGACAAUGGGGGGAACCCUGAUCCAGCCAUGCCGCGUGUGUGAAGAAGGUCUUCGGAUUGUAAAGCACUUUAAGUUGGGAGGAAGAGUUGUAGGCUAAUACCUUGCAAUUUUGACGUUACCAACAGAGUAAGCACAGGCGAACUUCGUGCCAGCAGCCGCGGUAAUACGAAGGGUUGAAGCGUUAAUCGGAAUUACUGGGCGUAAAGCGCGCGUAGGUGGUUCGUUAAGUUGGAAGUGAAAGCCCCGGGCUUAACCUGGGAAUUGCUUUCAAAACUGACGAGCUAGAGUACGGUAGAGGGUAGUGGAAUUUCCUGUGUAGCGGUGAAAUGCGUAGAUAUAGGAAGGAACAUCAGUGGCGAAGGCGACUACCUGGACUGAUACUGACACUGAGGUGCGAAAGCGUGGGGAGCAAACAGG
rnacentral:rRNA from 1 species